rnacentral:rRNA from 1 species
UACGGGGGGUGCGAGCGUUGUCCGGAUUCACUGGGCGUAAAGGGCGCGUAGGCGGCCGGGUCAGUCGGGCCUGUAAGUGCGGGGCUCAACCCCGUGAUGGGCUCGGGACGGCACGGCUGGGGCGCGGCAGAGGGAGACGGAAUGCCGGGUGUAGUGGUGAAAUGCGUAGAGAUCCGGCGGAACACCGGUGGUGAAGACGGUCUCCUGGGCCGAGGGCCGACGCUGAGGCGCGAGAGCGUGGGGAGCGAGCCGG